GUAGGGAUUCCCGCUGAUCUUAAGCAUAUCAAUAAGCGGAGGAAAAGANGCCAUCAGGGAUUGCNUUAGUAACGGCGAGUGAAGCGGCAACAGCUCAAAUUGAAAUCUGGUCCUNUCAGGNCCCGAGUUGUAAUUUGUAGAGGAUGUUUCGGCUGCGGCGCGGGUCUAAGUCCUUUGGAACAGGCCGUCAUAGAGGGUGAGAAUCCCGUAUGUGACCCGUGAUCAAGUCCAUGUGAAACACCUUCGUCGAGUCGAGUUGUUUGGGAAUGCAGCUCAAAAUGGGUGGUAAAUUUCAUCUAAAGCUAAAUACCGGCCAGAGUCCGAUAGCGCACAAGUAGAGUGAUCGAAAGAUGAAAAGCACUUUGGAAAGAGAGUCAAAAAGUACGUGAAAUUGUUGAAAGGGAAGCGCUUGCAACCAGACCUGUCCGCAGGCGAUCAACCCUCGUUCUCGGGGGUGCACUCGUCUGCGAUCAGGCCAGCAUCGGUUCGGGCGGUCGGAUAAAGGCCUUGGGAAUGUAGCUCCUUCCGGGGAGUCUUAUAGCCCUCGGUGCAAUGCGGCCAGCCCGGACCGAGGAGCGCGCCUUCGGGCUAGGAUGCUGGCGUAAUGGUUGUAAGCGACC
rnacentral:rRNA from 1 species